CCUACGGGAGGCAGCAGUGGGGAAUAUUGCACAAUGGGCGCAAGCCUGAUGCAGCCAUGCCGCGUGUAUGAAGAAGGCCUUCGGGUUGUAAAGUACUUUCAGCGGGGAGGAAGGGAGUAAGGUUAAUAACCUUAUUCAUUGACGUUACCCGCAGAAGAAACACCGGCUAACUCCGUGCCAGCAGCCGCGGUAAUACGGAGGGUGCAAGCGUUAAUCGGAAUUACUGGGCGUAAAGCGCACGCAGGCGGUCUGUCAAGUCGGAUGUGAAAUCCCCGGGCUCAACCUGGGAACUGCAUUCGAAACUGGCAAACUGGAGUGUGUGAGAGGAUAGUGGAAUUCCAGGUGUAGGAGUGAAAUCCGUAGAUAUCUGGAGGAACAUCAGUGGCGAAGGCGACUAUCUGGCACAUAACUGACGCUGAGGAGCGAAAGCGUGGGUAGCAAACAGGAUUAGAUACCCGAGUAGUC
rnacentral:rRNA from 1 species